AUUGAACGCUGGCGGCAUGCCUUACACAUGCAAGUCGAACGGUAGCAGGUCUUCGGAUGCUGACGAGUGGCGAACGGGUGAGUAAUACAUCGGAACGUGCCCGAUCGUGGGGGAUAACGCAGCGAAAGCUGUGCUAAUACCGCAUACGAUCUACGGAUGAAAGCGGGGGAUCUUCGGACCUCGUGCGGACGGAGCGGCCGAUGGCAGAUUAGGUAGUUGGUGGGGUAAAGGCUCACCAAGCCUGCGAUCGGUAGAGGGUCUGAGAGGACGACCAGCCACACGGGACCUGAGACACGCCCCAGACUCCUACGGGGGGCAACAGUGGGAAAUUGUGGACAAUGGGCGCAACCCUGAUCCAGCCCUGCCGCGUGCAGGAUGAAGGCCUUCGGGUUGUAAACUGUUUUUGUACGGAACGAAAAGUCUCUUUUUAAUAAAGAGGGAUCAUGACGGUACCGUAAGAAUAAGCACCGGCUAACUACGUGCCAGCAGCCGCCGUAA
rnacentral:rRNA from 1 species